CUGCCCCUUGCUCCCAUGGCCGGCCAUGGCCAUGGAAAUCCACCAAGAUGAAGCUCCCCUCCUCCCUCAAGCUUCCCCUCACCAUGAGAGCUUCCCUCUCACUCUCUUCUCCCCUAAUCUUUGAUGAGUCCAGCUCACUUUCUCCUUUCUCCUCUCACUAGAUUGGAUCUUGAUGCAGGUGCAUGUUGGUCCAAGCAUGGAGAAAGUUGAGCUAUCCUCAGAUCUGAAGUUCUUGAGCAAAAUCCAAAUCGAGUGAUUCAAAGUUCCGCAGAUAGUUAUUGAAAAGAUCUACAACUUGGCGUUGGUCUCAUCCUCAAAUUCGUUACAGAUUUUGCAUGAUCAAAAUUUUGUCAGAUCUGACUUUGUCGAAUUAAACCAGGAGGCUGGAGACGAAUUUUUGAAUGAAACCAAUUGGGGGAUACUUAGUUGUGCCAUGGUGAUACCGAGAGAGGCAAUUGCUAAGUUAUGAUACUCUCAUACCUUUACUAGAUGCGAACGAUUCCGGAGAAGAAGAAGAAGUGGUUCGGACAAGGAUUUUAUUUAUAUUGACGGGAUUCUUAUAUUGAUGAAGUUGAAGAAGUCCAGGGACAAAUAAGCCAAGGCAAGCCAUCUUUUGAUCUCUGAUAUGAUGUCUCUUUGGAUGUCAUCUUGUGCUAUCAAUAGCAUCUUGGUUCUAUGUGUGAUGAUCUCCAUAUUGUUGUCAUCUAUGCUUGGAUGCAAGCAUGGUACCUCUAGUAGUUUUAUCUUGUCAAGGUCUUGGUAAUUGGUUGGGUGUAUGGUAUCAUGGCCAUUGCUAUCCAACUUGCUUUCUAUAUUUAGCUUGAAUAAGUUCCACCUCGGGACAAGAUUCAUACUACACCCCCUUCUAGUGUAGAUGUAUCA